GACGAACGCUGGCGGCGUGCCUAAUACAUGCAAGUCGAACGCAGUGGGGACGGGUGAGUAACCCGUGGGUAACCUCCCAUCAGAGGGGAUAACACUUGGACACAGGUGCUAAACCGAUACUGAUGGAUGGACUCGCGGUGCUUUAGCUAGUUGGUGAGGUAACGGCUCACCAAGGCCACGAUGCAUAGCCGACCUGAGAGGGUGAUCGGCCACACUGGGACUGAGACACGGCCCAGACUCCUACGGGAGGCAGCAGUAGGGAAUAGUCGGCAAUGGACGAAAGUCUGAUCGAGCAACGCCGCUUGAGUGAAGAAGGUAUUCGGAUCGUAAAACACUGUUGUUAGUGAAGCGGUAUCUAACCAGAAAGCCACGGCUAACUACGUGCCAGCAGCCGCGGUAAUUC
rnacentral:rRNA from 1 species